GGAGGUCGACGACCGGCGCACGGGUGAGUAACGCGUAUGCAACCUACCUUCUACAGGAGGAUAGCCCAGAGAAAUUUGGAUUAAUACUCCAUAGUACUAAUGAAUCACCUGGUUUAUUAGUUAAAACUCCGGUGGUAAAAGAUGGGCAUGCGUGUCAUUAGCUAGUUGGUAAGGUAACGGCUUACCAAGGCGAAGAUGACUAGGGGUUCUGAGAGGAAGAUCCCCCACACUGGUACUGAGACACGGACCAGACUCCUACGGGAGGCAGCAGUGAGGAAUAUUGGUCAAUGGGUGAGAGCCUGAACCAGCCAUGCCGCGUGAAGGAAGACUGCCCUAUGGGUUGUAAACUUCUUUUCUGCAGGAAGAAAUCACUCUACGUGUAGGGUGUUGCCGGUACUGCAGGAAUAAGCAUCGGCUAACUCCGUGCCAGCAGCCGCGGUAAUACGGAGGAUGCAAGCGUUAUCCGGAUUUAUUGGGUUUAAAGGGUGCGUAGGCGGGCUUGUAAGUCAGUGGUGAAAUGCUGUGGCUUAACCAUAGAAUUGCCAUUGAAACUGCAAGUCUUGAGUACAGUUGAGGUGGGCGGAAUGAGUAAUGUAGCGGUGAAAUGCAUAGAUAUUACUCAGAACUCCGAUUGCGUAGGCAGCUUGCUAAACUGUAACUGACGCUGAUGCACGAAAGCGUGGGGAGCGAACCAGGAUUAGAUACCCUGGUAGUCCACGCUGUAAACGAUGAGCACUGGUUGUUGGCAAUACAC
rnacentral:rRNA from 1 species